CCGGAGAUGCAAGAGAGCCUGAUGGAGUCCCUGGUUCAGGAAGAUAUCUUGGAGAAGGAAAUGACAAUCCACUCCAGUAUUCUUGCCAGGAAAAUUCCAUGGACAGAGGAGCCUUGCAGACUACAGUCCAUGGGGUCGCAGAGUCAGGCAGGACUGAGCGUGUACAGUGGUCGGAGGACAUGGGAGGGAGACACACACACACUACAGUGUCUUUUCCUUCUGGACCGGAGCAGCUGUGUUUUCUUCACAGUGAAUGAAUGGAAACAGCUGGAGUACUUGUCUCAGGAAGUGGGCCAGCCUAAGUCUUCAAGGAGAAGGAAGUAUGAAAUUGAGUGAGGGGCCAGCUGGGGACUUUGCACCCUACCAGAUGUAUUUGAACAUGUGAGGGAGGUAUUAAAAAAAAUUACUGAGGUAUAGUUGAUUUACAAUGUUGUAUUAAUUUCUACUAUACAGCAAAUUUAUUCGGUUAAACAUUAUAUAUAUUCUUUAUCAUAUUCUUGUCCAUUAUGGUUUAUCACAGCAUACUGAAUAUAGCUUUUUGUGCUACACAAUCAGACUUUGUUGUUUAUUCAUUCUUUUUAUACUAGUUUGCAUCUGCUACUCCCAAACACCCAGUCCAUCCCUCCCUCACACGCUCACGUCUUUGGCAACUCCAAGUCUGUUUCUGAUUUGCAGAUAAGUUCCUUUCUGUCAUAUUUUAGAUUCCACAAAUAAGCGAUAUCAUAUGGCAUUUGUCUUUUCCUGUGUUACUUUGCUCAGUACGAUAAUCUCUAGGUCCGUCCAUGUUGCUGCAACUGACAUUGUCUCAUUCUUUUUCAGGGCUGAAGAAUACUCCAUUGUACAUAUAUAAAACAUUCUUUACCCAUCCUCUGUUAAUGGACAUUUAGGUUGUUUUCCCAUCUUGGCUAUGUUAAACAGUGUCUGCUAAGAAUAUUGGGUUGCAAGUAUCUUUUUGAAUUAUAGUUUUGUCUGGUUACAUGCCAAGGAGUGGGAUUGCUGGAUCAUAUGGAAACCUACUUUCAGUUUUUUGAGGAACCUCUGCACCAUUGUCCACAGUGCCACAUCAGUUUACCUUCCCACCCACAGUGUAGAAGGUUUCCCUUUUCUCCACACCUUCUCCAGCACCAGGGGGUGCCUUUUGGAUGUUUGCAGUGAUUGGAAUGCACUAGCGGCUUUUGGGAAGUGUUAGCCAGGCAUUGGAGAACGAAAUGGCAACCCACUCCAGUGUUCUUGCCUGGAGAAUCCCAGGGAUGGGAGAGCCUGGUGGGCUGCCGUCUAUGGGGUCACAUAGAGUUGGACACAACUGAAGCGACUUAGGGGCAGCAGCAGCAGCAGC
rnacentral:lncRNA from 1 species